rnacentral:misc_RNA from 1 species
GAUGAAGAACGUAGCGAAAUGCGAUAAGUAAUGUGAAUUGCAGAAUUCCGUGAAUCAUCGAAUCUUUGAACGCACAUUGCGCCCCCUGGCAUUCCGGGGGGCAUGCCUGUCUGAGCGUCAUUUCUGCCCUCCAGCCCGGCUGGGUGUUGGGCGCUGUCCCCCCGGGGACACGCCCCAAAGGCAGUGGCGGCGCCGCGUCGGGUCCUCGAGCGUAUGGGGCUUUGUCACCCGCUCGGGACGGACUCGUCGGCGCUGGUCUUCCUCCAGGCGACCCUUCGGGGCUCGUCUUCCUUCGGUUGACCUCGGAUCAGGUAGGGUUACCCGCUGAACUUAAGCAUAUCAAUAAGCGGAGGA